rnacentral:rRNA from 1 species
UACGUAGGGGGCAAGCGUUGUCCGGAAUCAUUGGGCGUAAAGAGCGUGUAGGCGGCCCGAUAAGUCCGCUGUGACAGUCCAGGGCUCAACCCUGGAAUGCCGGUGGAUACUGUCGGGCUCGAAUCCGGAAGAGGAGAGUGGAAUUCCUGGUGUAGCGGUGAAAUGCGCAGAUAUCAGGAAGGAACACCCAUGGCGAAGGCAGCU